rnacentral:lncRNA from 1 species
CUGAUAUGCUGCAGAUGCAAUUGAGUAGCAGCUUCAUUCCACAUUUCUCCAACAUCUUUCAUGGUGAGGUCAAGAGCAUAUUCAAAACCAUGUGUGGCUCAGUCCAACUGGAGAGACCAAGUCAAAGAGCCUCAUUUCCAUAAGUCAUCUUCAGAAUUUGGUGAGAAAGUAAAAUUGCUUCCUCACUGUCCUCACCGGAUUCACAGGGGGAAAUGAUUCAGAGGCUUUUGCCUUUACCUCCUAGAGCAUGUUCUAGGCUUUGCCUUCCAGUGUCUACUUGGCUUUCCAGUGUCAGACAGCUUCUUGCACCUGACCCACCCAGCUGAGGACACAGAUGUC